CUGCUUUGCACGCAGGAGGUCAGCGGUUCGAUCCCGCUAGGCUCCACCAACGUGUUCUUUGAAAACUAGAUAACAGUAGACAUCACAUUCAAUUAGUAAUACAAGAUAUCACAUAGUGGUUCUUUUUAACGGUUAAGUUAGAAAGGGCGCACGGUGGAUGCCUUGGCACUAGGAGCCGAUGAAGGACGGGACUAACACCGAUAUGC
rnacentral:rRNA from 1 species